ACUUAAGCAAUCCACCCCUGCCUUGGCCUCCCAAAGUGCUGGGAUUACAGGCGUGAGCCACUGUGCCUGGCUCAAGUCAGUGACGUUUGGACUGGAACGACACUAUCAGCUCUCUUGGGUCUCCAGCUAGCCAACUGCAGAUCUUGAGACUUCUCAGCUUUCAUAAUUGCUCUGAGCAAAUUCUUUAUAAUAAAUCUCUCUCUCUCUCUCUCUCUCUCUCUCUGUGUGUGUGUGUGUGUGUGUGCGCGCGCGCAUUGGUUCUGUGAUUCUGUUUCUCCAGAGAACCCCAACAAUUACAAGACCUCAAGAUGAGUCAGUGAUGAGUUUAAGGCUGAAUGACUAGGAAAACGAUCAAAAUAUAGGACAAAAAUAAGGAAGUCAAGGGAAGUGAUUCAUUUCAGGGGAAGUUUUUUUGUUUAUUUUUUCAUUCACAAACAUUUAUUUGGCAUGUGCCCUGUGCCAGAUAGAAUUCCAGCCACUGGGGAUUGAAAGUUCCACACAGUUGCCUAAACUAGAGGCCAACAUGUAUUCUUUCUUCAGCCUCACCCUCAACAUCUAAUUAAUCUUAAAACCUGAAAUUUCACCUGCUUGCAUUGCUUUCAAAUCUAUUUCCUUGACAGGUAGAGAGGUUUGGAAGGAUGAUCCUCAACUCGUUGGAGUCAUUGUGUCUCCCUUUCAGAUCCACAGCAGUUAGUAAUGAUUUCACUUAUAGGUCAGAAGGACCAUGGACCUAUUUGAGGCAUUUGGAGAUUUAUCAUAUGUGAAAUUAGGAAAUUGAAAGUUAUUGGGAUUGAUCAAAGCACAUGAACAUAAAAUAUACUUCACAUCUCCAUACUUCUUAAGGUGAUGAAGAAGGGUGUGGCUGAUGAUAUUGUUUGUUGAGGGAUCUGAUAGUGUCCAAAGAAAAAUUAUCUGCAAUUUUCUUUUCCCUUCCUUCCUUCUUUCCUUCCUUCUUUCCUUCCUUCCUUCCCUCCUCCCUCCCUCUUUUCUUUUCUCAUUUCUUUUCUUUUCCCUCCCUCCCUCUUUCUUUCUUUCCUUCCUUCCCUCCUCCCUCCCUCUUUUCUUUUCUCAUUUCUUUUCCCUCCCUCCCUCCCUUCCUUUCUUUCUUUCUUUUUCUUUCUUUCCUUCCUUCCUUCCUUCUCUUUCUUUCCUUCCUUCCUUCCUUCUCUCUUUCUUUCUUUCUUUUCUUUCCUUUCUUUUUCUUUCUCUUUCCUUCCUGCUUUUAUUUCUUCUCUCUGUCUCUCUCUGUCUCUGUCUCUGUCUCUCUCUCUCUCCUGUUGCCUAGGCUGGAGUUUAGCUCACUGCAACCUCUGCCUCCUGGGUUCAAGCAAUUCUCCUCCCUCAGCCUUCUGAGUAGCUGGGACUACAGGCUUUAGAACUGGCGGCUUUAUAAGAAGAGAAAGAGAGAUCUGAGCUAGCACACUCAACCCCCUUGCUCUGUGAUGCCCUGUGCCAUCUCGGGACUCUGCAGAGGGUCCCCACCAGCAAGAAGGCCUUCACCAGAGCGGCCCCUUAACCUUGGACUUCCCAGCCUCCAUAACUGUCUGACUGGAUCCAGAAGUUCCAGUGAAGCCGAUUUCUAUCUCUAGUCUUUGUGAUCCUUUCCUCUCCAGCAAGGCUUUUCCUUGCCAUGACAAGACACCUGGCAGCAUCUCCAGGCUUACUCAACCAGUACCCUUGAUGGGAAAAGGGCUUUUCUUUCUUAAUUUUCCAGCAAAAGCCUCAAGAUUGACUCUGGAGUAAAUUGCACAUGGCCUCAAAUUCUUUGCAGCUCCUUCCACUAUGAGGUGGCAUGUAUUACUCCAAUCCCUGCAUCUGGGCUGGAUUUGUGACUUGUUUUGAACAAUAGAAUGUGGUAAAAGUGACAGUGAAAAUAUAUGAGUUUCAAGCCUAAGACAACAUGCUUUUCAGCCUUUGCUCUGGAUUUCUUUGAAUGCUGCUGUCACAUAAACAAGACUGAAAUAGCCUACUAGAGGAUGGGAAAUUACAUGGAGCAGAGACAAGCAGUCCCAGGUGUGGAACCCCUAGACCAGCCAGCUUACCAACCACCAGACAUGAGAGUGAGACCAUCCUAGAUCACUCAGCUCCAGCCAAGCCACCAAGAGACCACACAGAUCAGCUGAAUUGGCCUAGGCCAGACGAACCACUCUGCCAACCCACAGAAUUACUAAAAAUAAUAAAUAUUUGUUAGUGAAGA